rnacentral:rRNA from 1 species
UAGGGAAUCUUCGGCAAUGGACGAAAGUCUGACCGAGCAACGCCGCGUGAGUGAAGAAGGUUUUCGGAUCGUAAAACUCUGUUGUUAGAGAAGAACAAGGACGUUAGUAACUGAACGUCCCCUGACGGUAUCUAACCAGAAAGCCACGGCUAACUACGUGCCAGCAGCCGCGGUAAUACGUAGGUGGCAAGAGUUGUCCGGAUUUAUUGGGCGUAAAGCGAGCGCAGGCGGUUUCUUAAGUCUGAUGUGAAAGCCCCCGGCUCAACCGGGGAGGGUCAUUGGAAACUGGGCGACUUGAGUGCAGAAGAGGAGAGUGGAAUUCCAUGUGUAGCGGUGAAAUGCGUAGAUAUAUGGAGGAACACCAGUGGCGAAGGCGGCUCUCUGGUCUGUAACUGACGCUGAGGCUCGAAAGCGUGGGGAGCAAACAGG